GACGAACGCUGGCGGCGUGCUUAACACAUGCAAGUCGAACGAAGUGGCGAACGGGUGAGUAACGCGUAAUCAACCUGCCCUUCAGAGGGGGACAACAGUUGGAAACGACUGCUAAUACCGCAUACUGAAGGAGGGGAUUGCGUCUGAUUAGCUAGUUGGAGGGGUAACGGCCCACCAAGGCGAUGAUCAGUAUGCGGUCUGAGAGGAGGAACGGCCACAAUGGGACGGAGACACGGCCCAGACUCCUACGGGAGGCAGCAGUUGGGAAUAUUGCACAAUGGGCGCAAGCCUGAUGCAGCCAUUCCGGGGGUAUGAAGAAGGGCUUAGGGUUGUAAAGCUCUGUUAAUCGGGACGCGGUACCGGAAUAGGAAGCCACGGCUAACUACGUGCCAGCAGCCGCGGUAAUUC
rnacentral:rRNA from 1 species